rnacentral:rRNA from 1 species
GACGAACGCUGGCGGCGUGCUUAACACAUGCGAGUCGAACGGGAUCCGGGCUUUCGGGUUUGGUGAGAGUGGCGAACGGGUGAGUAACACGUGAGUAACCUGCCCCCUUCUUUGGGAUAACGUCGGGAAAUCGGCGCUAAUACUGGAUAUUCUUGCUGCAUCGCAUGGUGUGGUUUGGAAAGGGUUUCUGGUGGGGGAUGGGCUCGCGGCCUAUCAGCUUGUUGGUGGGGUGAUGGCCUACCAAGGCUUUGACGGGUAGCCGGCCUGAGAGGGUGUCCGGCCACACUGGGACUGAGACACGGCCCAGACUCCUACGGGAGGCAGCAGUGGGGAAUAUUGCACAAUGGGCGCAAGCCUGAUGCAGCGACGCCGCGUGAGGGAUGACGGCCUUCGGGUUGUAAACCUCUUUCAGUAUGGAACAAGGAUCCUUCUUUUGGGGGGUUUGAGGGUACGUGCAGAAGAAGCGCCGGCUAACUACGUG